GUAGGGAAUCUUCCACAAUGGACGAAAGUCUGAUGGAGCAACGCCGCGUGAGUGAAGAAGGUCUUCGGAUCGUAAAACUCUGUUGUUAGAGAAGAACGUGCAUGAUAGUAACUGAUCAUGUAAUGACGGUAUCUAACCAGAAAGCCACGGCUAACUACGUGCCAGCAGCCGCGGUAAUACGUAGGUGGCAAGCGUUGUCCGGAUUUAUUGGGCGUAAAGGGAACGCAGGCGGUUUUUUAAGUCUGAUGUGAAAGCCUUCGGCUUAACCGAAGAAUAGCAUUGGAAACUGGAAGACUUGAGUGCAGAAGAGGAGAGUGGAAUUCCAUGUGUAGCGGUGAAAUGCGUAGAUAUCAGGAAGAACACCGGAGGCGAAGGCGGCUUACUGGACAAUAACUGACGUUGAGGCUCGAAAGCGUGGGAAGCAAACAGGAUUAGAAACCCCGGUAGUCC
rnacentral:rRNA from 1 species